GGGAGUUCGCGAAUGAAGGUAAUUUCAUUAGAGGUCAGCCGAACCUUUUGAAGAAUAUCCAUAGGCGUAAACCUGUUCAUAGUCAUUCUGCACAGAAUCUUCAUGGCCUGUCAUCUCCAUUAACUGAAUCAGAAAGACAGGGAUACAAGGAAGAUAUUCAAAAGCUGAUGCAUGAGAAUGGAUCACUUCACUUGGACCUACAAAGACAUAAACAGGAUCACCAAGGACUUGAAUUGCAAAUGCAGGUUUUAACUGAACGUGUUCAACAUGCAGAACACCGUCAGAAGACCAUGAUAUCUGCUUUA
rnacentral:misc_RNA from 1 species